AACGAACGCUGGCGGCAUGCCUAACACAUGCAAGUCGAACGAGACCUUCGGGUCUAGUGGCGCACGGGUGCGUAACGCGUGGGAACCUGCCCUUAGGUUCGGAAUAACUCCCCGAAAGGGGUGCUAAUACCGGAUAAUGUCUUCGGACCAAAGAUUUAUCGCCUUUGGAUGGGCCCGCGUUGGAUUAGCUAGUUGGUAGGGUAAAAGCCUACCAAGGCGACGAUCCAUAGCUGGUCUGAGAGGAUGAUCAGCCACACUGGGACUGAGACACGGACCAGACUCCUACGGGAGGCAGCAGUGGGGAAUAUUGGACAAUGGGCGAAAGCCUGAUACAGCAAUGCCGCGUGAGUGAUGAAGGCCUUAGGGUUGUAAAGCUCUUUUACCCGGGAUGAUAAUGACAGUACCGGGAGAAUAAGCUCCGGCUAACUCCGUG
rnacentral:rRNA from 1 species